rnacentral:tRNA from 1 species
GCCUCGGUGGUCUAAUGGCUUAGGACACUUGUACGGAAUACAAAAGAUCCGGGUUCAAGUCCUGACCGAAGUA